rnacentral:rRNA from 1 species
CCUACGGGUGGCAGCAGUGGGGAAUAUUGGACAAUGGGCGAAAGCCUGAUCCAGCCAUACCGCGUGUGUGAAGAAGGCCUUCGGGUUGUAAAGCACUUUCAGUGGGGAAGAAAGCCUUGGGGCCAAUACCCUCGAGGAAGGACAUCACCCACAGAAGAAGCACCGGCUAACUCCGUGCCAGCAGCCGCGGUAAUACGGAGGGUGCGAGCGUUAAUCGGAAUUACUGGGCGUAAAGCGCGCGUAGGCGGUCUGAUAAGCCGGUUGUGAAAGCCCCGGGCUCAACCUGGGAACGGCAUCCGGAACUGUCAGGCUAGAGUGCAGGAGAGGAAGGUAGAAUUCCCGGUGUAGCGGUGAAAUGCGUAGAGAUCGGGAGGAAUACCAGUGGCGAAGGCGGCCUUCUGGACUGACACUGACGCUGAGGUGCGAAAGCGUGGGUAGCAAACAGGAUUAGAUACCCUAGUAGUC